UCAAACUUACUGCCAAGUGCGAAGUGUUAUUUAUAUAUUCACCUUAUGUUGGCAUAGUAUAUUCAACGCACUUUUGGACUUUAAAAUGUGGGCUCUUGCAUAUAAACUCACUAAAAUCCUUCUCAGGAUUCAACGUGGGACAAAGUCCCAAGUUCACGCUCAACACAAGCUAAUUGUUGAGGGGAUGACCUCCCAUGGACGGAGCAGGUACCAGAAGAGGGUGUUCGUCUAAAUUACUAGGUAAUAUGUCCUAGUGUUGGUAGACAGAAUUACCUGAUUCAUGUUGCCAGUGGGAGAUGACAGGUAUCCCGUGAAAUUAGUAGAGACAAUUUUAUUUUUUUAAAAAAAGGAAUUUCUUUGAACUUUCUCAUUUUCAGUACUCUUCAUGUUAUUACUUACUUUAAAUGUCGAAGCUCAACGUAUGUUCACCAUGAUAUGCACUGAUCAUCUCUUUUUCCUUUUUUUCUUCUUUUGAUCAUCUCUUUUUCCUUUUUUUCUAUUUUCAAAGCAACAUUGGCACUCAGCUGUUUUGUCUCCUCAUUUGGAUUUUGUGUUCACCACGUUUUUGCCUUCUUUUUACAACUUUUUGCUAUGUACAUCCAAAGAUGCUUUAAAAUGGCGAAAUAGACAUGCAGGCAAUUCCUUUUUUUGACCAAGAUAUGGUCCGAUUUAGUUGUCCCGUUUUAUUUGGUCCUAGAAAUGUGCGAGACAACUGCAAUACAAAAUGAUAUUGUCUGAUUCUUAGAUGACUUAGGACCACCCACCCCUCCUUUGAACUGGAUCCUCUUUGACUCACUUCUUUAGGUCCAAAAAUCCUUGCUUUUUUUUGUCUAUAUAUGUAAAAGUGGAGUCAACAAAAGUGGAAAAUAAAAUGCAUUGAACAAAGGUCAACCCCAUCUUGAUCAAAUUCUGAUUCGGACAUUUAUAUUUGUAUGCUUUUAUAUAUUUUUCUUUUUGUAUAUACAGUAGAAAGCUGAAGGGGCCAAUUUCGACGUCCCCUUCAUUCGACACCUAGCAAAUGAGAUGAGAGCAGCAAUGAACUUGAUCAGAGUCUAGUUGUAAUGAUCGGACUCCAAAGUCCUCGUACAGAUAAGUGUGAGUCUAAUUCUCACUGUCCCGCAUCUCUAUUUCCUUGUUAUAUACAGUUAAAGUUGAAGACUACAGGUAAACGGUCAUACUUCACCUGUUGUAUUUGUUACCCCAAGACUUGAAAGAGUUGUAGAGAUUAUUUCUGACAAUCUAAAUAUUCCCCUUUGGUCUAAAAUUUCAAAAGCAUCUUCCAGAGCUGCAAUUAGCGACCAACAACG
rnacentral:lncRNA from 1 species